GAUGAACGCUAGCGGGAGGCUUAACACAUGCAAGUCGAGGGGCAUCGCGGUGCAGCAAUGCACUGGCGGCGACCGGCGUACGGGUGCGUAACGCGUAUGCAACCUGCCCCGCACCGGGGGAUAGCCCGCCGAAAGGCGGAUUAAUACCCCAUGGCCCCGGGGGCCCGCAUGGGCAUCCGGGUAAAGCUUUGGCGGUGCGGGAUGGGCAUGCGUGCCAUUAGCUGGCUGGUGGGGUAACGGCCCACCAGGGCAACGAUGGCUAGGGGGUCUGAGAGGAUGGUCCCCCACACUGGUACUGAGACACGGACCAGACUCCUACGGGAGGCAGCAGUGAGGAAUAUUGGUCAAUGGGCGGAAGCCUGAACCAGCCAUGCCGCGUGCGGGAUGAAGGCCCUACGGGUUGUAAACCGCUUUUCCCCGGGAAGAAUAAGCCCCCGCGGGGGUCGGAGUGCCGGUACCGGGGGAAUAAGGAUCGGCUAACUCCGUGGCCAGCCAGCCGCGGUAAUCAUACUCGUA
rnacentral:rRNA from 1 species